GGGCCGGUCGCUGUGAGGCGGCGAGCGCAAAUCGGGCACCUGUGACUGAAAAAAAGCGAUUUUAACUGCAGCUGGGCGUCUCCUCUGGUUUAAAGGGCCAAGUAGCAGUUUCGUGGAAGAAUGCAUUAUUAGCUCCUUUGUUUGGUGAACAGUGAUAUUUUCCCCCUAACCACUCCUAAGACCGUGUGUGCUUCUCCACUGCAGUUCAGCCAUUGUGUGCAAAAGCCUAUGAGAAGACGUAUGAGCACCGGCUAGAAGGAAUUGUUGCUGCAGAGGCAGCAAAGCAAAAUUGGUUGUUGAAACAUCCAUUAUCCACUGAAGGACAGGCUAUUGAUACAUUUUUGUACCCAGAAGACAACAAUAUAAUAGUUCUAUUUUGAUUGCUUAUAUUAAAAUAUAUUUCAUUA